rnacentral:ncRNA from 1 species
AUAGAAGGAUUAAAGAAUCUAACUAUAUGCCUGUUGAAGAAGGAGCUGACGAGUCUUAAUUAUUUUAAGCAUUUGGUUAAUUUUAUUUAAUUGAAGCCAGAGUUAACGCGAGUUAUUAUAAUAUAAUAACAAUUGCUUAUAAUUAAGAACCCGAACCCGGAUGAAUUAAUCUUGUCCAGAAUGAAAUAUAGAUAAGUCUAUAUAGAGGUUCGAACUGGUUGAUAUUGCAAAAUCAUCAGAAGAGAUGAGAUUAGCGGUGAAAUGCUUAUCGAAUUCGGAGCUAGCUGGUUCUCCUCGAAAUGCGUUGAGGCGCAGCUGUUACUUAAUAUAUAAUUAAGGUGGUAAAGCACUAUAUUUAAUAUUUAUUAUAUUUAUAUUAUAAAAAUUAUAUAUAAACUAAUAAUACCUAUUAUAUUAAAAAGUAAUAAGUGAGACUAUUGGGGAAAAUCUCAAUUGUCUAAAAGGAAACAACCUACAUCAUAAGUUAAGGUUUUAAAAAGUAUUAAAAAUAAAAAGAAAUUUAAUUUCAUUUAUAUUUAGGAGGUUAGCUUAGAAGCAGCUAUCCUUUAAAGAGUGCGUAAUAGCUCGCUAAAUUAGAAAUUAUGUACUGAAAAUGGUAAAAAAAAUACUUUACCGAAACUAUGAGAUUUAUAUUUAAAUCGAUAGAGGAGCGUUCUAUAUUUAAGAAGUAAAAAUGUAAAUUUUUAUGGAAAAAAUAGAAGUGAAAAUGUCAGC